rnacentral:rRNA from 1 species
AUUGAACGCUGGCGGCAUGCCUUACACAUGCAAGUCGAGCGCGAAAGGGGGCAACCCCGAGUAGAGCGGCGGACGGGUGAGUAACGCAUCGGAACGUGCCCAGUAGUGGGGGACAACCUCGAGAAAUCGAGGCUAAUACCGCAUACGACCCACGGGUGAAAGCGGGGGACCGCAAGGCCUCGCGCUAUUGGAGCGGCCGAUGUCCGAUUAGCUAGUUGGCGGGGUAANAGCCCACCAAGGCGACGAUCGGUAGCUGGUCUGAGAGGACGACCAGCCACACUGGGACUGAGACACGGCCCAGACUCCUACGGGAGGCAGCAGUGGGGAAUUUUGGACAAUGGGGCAACCCUGAUCAGCCAUGCCGCGUGCGGGAGGAAGGCCU